AUUGAACGCUGGCGGCAUGCCUUACACAUGCAAGUCGAACGGUAACAGGUUAAGCUGACGAGUGGCGAACGGGUGAGUAAUACAUCGGAACGUGCCCAGUCGUGGGGGAUAACUGCUCGAAAGAGCAGCUAAUACCGCAUACGGCCUGAGGGUGAAAGCGGGGGAUCGCAAGACCUCGCGCGAUUGGAGCGGCCGAUAUCAGAUUAGGUAGUUGGUGGGGUAAAGGCCCACCAAGCCAACGAUCUGUAGCUGGUCUGAGAGGACGACCAGCCACACUGGGACUGAGACACGGCCCAGACUCCUACGGGAGGCAGCAGUGGGGGAAUUUUGGACAAUGGGCGCAAGCCUGAUCCAGCCAUGCCGCGUGCGGGAAGAAGGCCUCGGUUGUAACGACUUGU
rnacentral:rRNA from 1 species